CCCUGUUCCUGGAGCUGUGUUCCACCUGCCGCCUGGCACUCAGGCCUCACCCUUCCUGCUCUUGGUGCCUCAAGUAGUCUCCACCAACCCUGUGGUGUGGCCAGCCCCAUGCUGCUCAAGCUGCAGCAAAAGAGGAAGCCAGACACUGCUCUCAAGAGUGUUGCAGCUUGAUCGGUAAAACAGCUACUUCUGUUGAAGAAUCUACCAGCCAUCGUGCCUCUUUGGACCAAGGACCCCUGAGACACCAGCUCCUGUGCCUACCCUAACCUCCCCCGAGAGCUGCUUCCUCCUCACCUGUGAGAAGGCCUUAACGGUAGCAUGAGCCCAGCUGCUCUACCUUCUCCUCCCCUUCCUCCAGCAAGGACCCUGGCUGAUAUACCUGCUGUGUGAGCCCCUCUCCAUGGCCCAAUCUCUCGCCCCGCCUGAUGUCCUGGUAUCACUGCUGUCAUCGUCACCACCAGCCCCUUCACACCCCCAACUUUUAGUGAGCACUUACUGUGUGCCAGGUCUCAUGCCAAGAGUUGACCUGCGCCAUGUCAUUUCAUCCUCACGUUUACACUCCCGGGAGUUAUUGCUUAGAGACAAGGUUUCCCAUGUUGAUCAGGCUGGUCUCAAACUCCUGACCUCAAGUGAUCCACCCGCCUCAGCCUCCCAAAUUGCUGGGAUUACAGGCGUGAACCACCGCACCUGGCCAGAGUCCAUUUUUAAGGUGAGGACACAAAUGCUCUGAGGGAAUGGACUUGCCCAAGGUCACACGGCUUUGAGGCAGCACAGCUGGGAUUUGACUCCAGGCCUGCUGGCUCCAAAGUCCGAGAUCAUAACCACCAAACCACGCUGCCUUUUCCUUUCACUCUGGAAAAGGAGUCGCAGCUCUCCUUUCCUCUCUCCAGAAACUGGGGCAACAUGAAAAAUUCAAGACCAGAGAUGAAAACACCUGGCCUUUUGAAUGAGGCCAGACCAAUGGCUCUGUGGCAGUGCAGCCUGCAGACACUGGUGUCAAAGGAGAUUGAGGUGGUGUGCCCCAGAGGCUCAGCUGGGCAUGGCUGGCCGGCCCCCAUAAGCAAGGGCAGAGCCAGGGGGCCUGGAGGACAUCACUUCUAUCCAGCACAGAGGGGCUGCAGGGCUGUUUGACUAUGAGGACUGGUGGGGUCAUAACACCCCAGACUGUGACUCUAUCACUAAUGUAGCUCACUCCCAUUUCCAGCUAAGCCUGUCAGAUGCAGGCUGCCGUCUUUAGGGUCUGCUUGCUGAGUGGGCCAGGGUGGGAUCCUGGAGGCUCUGGGGGCUUGCCCUUCUGACCUUCCCCUGGUUGCUUGCUGUGCAGAGGUGACUUUUAUCAGCUCAGUAAACGGCUACUGGGCUAAACCCUUGUGUAUCUGUGUUUUGUCUCAGAGCAGACUUUGUGAUAGUCCUGACCCUGUCUUGCUGCACCUGGUUCUCGUGAGCUCUGGUCACCACCAAAUAGGCAAAAAGAUGUGGCAGCAAAGAAAAAAAGCAUGAUGACUUGGAAUCUGUCAGGCCUGGUUCUAACCCUGGUUCUAACCCUGGUUCUGCCAGGCACCGUAGUGAGGGUUUGGGCAAACGUCCUGAUCCCUCAGAGCCUCCCAUUCCUCAUCUGCAGAGCAGGUCUACCAGCAGGCUCUGUGCAGGGUGGUGGCGAGGAUUAGAUAAGAGAAUGGAUGCCUUCACAUGGUAGGCAGCCCCACAGUGAGCUUUCCCUCACACUUACACCAAUGUAUGCCAAGACGGAGCACCUCUGGCCCAAGCUUUGGCAACAGGAGA